AACGAACGCUGGCGGCGUGGAUAAGACAUGCAAGUCGAGCGGGAACUUUCGCUGUAGCAAUACAGUGAAAGUUCUAGCGGCGAACGGGUGCGUAACACGUGGACAAUCUGCCUUAAAGUGGGGGAUAGCUCGGCGAAAGCCGAAUUAAUACCGCAUGUGAUGAGAGACGACAUCGUCUUGAAUUCAAAGCCGGGGCAACCUGGCGCUUUUUGAGGAGCCCGCGGCCAUCAGCUAGUUGGCGGGGUAAUGGCCCACCAAGGCGACGACGGGUAGCUGGUCUGAGAGGAUGGCCAGCCACAUUGGGACUGAGAGACGGCCCAGACUCCUACGGGAGGCAGCAGUGGGGGAAUCUUGCGCAAAUGGUCUAACGACUGACGCAGCGGCGCCGCGUGUGGGAGGACGCCUUUCGGGUGU
rnacentral:rRNA from 1 species